rnacentral:rRNA from 1 species
AUUGAACGCUGGCGGCAUGCCUUACACAUGCAAGUCGAGCGAAUGGAUUAAGAGCUUGCUCUUAUGAAGUUAGCGGCGGACGGGUGAGUAACACGUGGGUAACCUGCCCAUAAGACUGGGAUAACUCCGGGAAACCGGGCCUAAUACCGGAUAACAUUUUGAACCGCAUGGUUCGAAAUUGAAAGGCGGCUUCGUCUGUCACUUAUGGAUGGACCCGCGUCGCAUUAGCUAGUUGGUGAGGUAACGGCUCACCAAGGCAACGAUGCGUAGCCGACCUGAGAGGGUGAUCGGCCACACUGGGACUGAGACACGGCCCAGACUCCUACGGGAGGCAGCAGUAGGGAAUCUUCCGCAAUGGACGAAAGUCUGACGGAGCAACGCCGCGUGAGUGAUGAAGGCUUUCGGGUCGUAAAACUCCGUUGUUAGGGAAGAACAAGCGCUAGUUGAAUAAGCUGGCACCUUGACGGUACCUAACCAGAAAGCCACGGCUAACUACGUGCCAGCAGCCGCAGUAA